AUUGAACGCUGGCGGCAGGCCUAACACAUGCAAGUCGAGCGAGCGGCGGACGGGUGAGUAAUGAAUGGGGACUUCCCGAUAGAGGGGGCUAACUUCUUGAAACGUGGGCUAAUACCGCAUCCUAUCGGAUAAUCAAUAUGGGAUUAGCUAGUAGGCGGGGUAAGGGCUCACCUAGGCGACGAUCUCUAGCAGUUCUAAGAGGAUGAUCAGCCACACUGUGACUGAGAAACGGCCCGGACUCAUACGGAUGCAGCAGUGGGGAAUAUUGCACUAUGUGCUCAAGCCUGAUGCAGCCAUGCUGCGUGUAUGAAGAAGGCCUUAGGGUUGUAAGUUACUUUCAGCGUGUAGGCGUUACCCAAAGAAGAAGCACCAGCUAACUCCGUGCCAGCAGCCGCGGUAAUAC
rnacentral:rRNA from 1 species